UAAAUAAGGAUCCCCCCAGAUACGUUUUUCUCUAAGCUCUAAUCUCUAUCUCAAAAUUUUGCUAAAAUUCUCAUUCGAGCACUCCAUUCUUGUUGAGGUAGAGAACUGACUAGAGCGUUGGAGGGUCUUGCCGGAGCACCCCCAACUUCGGUUUAGACUUUCUUUGCAGGUCCCGAUGGCGGCCGCGGUCAUCCCAACUCU
rnacentral:lncRNA from 1 species